rnacentral:rRNA from 1 species
AUGAUUUAUUCAUGCACUAGCUUUACCCUUCCACACAAUCAACUUGUGGUUUCUGUCAAGGCCGCGGCUUGUGGUAUCAAAUUGGUGGGUCCGCUCUCUGAGGUCUGGGUUUUGGUUGAUGAUGUGCCUGGUGAUCUUCGCUCGGUCCCCUUUCUGAUGGCUUUCGGUGUCCUUCUUGUCAAGCCGAUUGAGGUUGAUUGUGAGUCUCUGGAUAAGCUUGGUCAUGCUCGUGUUAAAGUUUGGUGUGCUGAUCCGGUGUGCCUUCGUGGUGUGAUUGAUGUGUUCCCCUCCUCUGAUGGUUUUCGCCUACGGGUGCAGGUCGAAAGGGCUGAGGCUCACCAGGCCCCUCCACCUCCUCCUCCCCCUGGCUCUACGAGAUCUGAUAAGCAUGAUGAUGGCUUAGCGGGUGGUCUACUGAUGCUCAUUUCACACAGUCCGCGUGGGACGACAUGGAGCCGGAGGUCUGAGAUCUGUUCAAAAAAAUGCUUCAGUGGGUCCCGCUCAGAAAGAGGCAGUUGA